rnacentral:miRNA from 1 species
AUCACCUGGGGUUCUUGUUCAAAUGCAGAUUCUGAUUCUGUAGGUCAGGAGUGAGCUCUGAAAUUCUGCAUUGCUAACAAGUUCCCAGGUGAUGUCA